UAAAAUAACAAGAUAUAUGGUACCUAUAAGACUUCUGUGAAGUUGGAGUUUGUUGUAGCAACUUUGGACAUAAUUGAAGGUUUAAGCAAAAAUACAAAAUAUCUCUGACGCAUCAAUAAUGCUGAUGGACUGUUUUCGAGGGACCUACCUUUACUUUCCAGCUACUAUAAUUUUCACCUUUUUCCCUUAGUGCUGUCUGCUUUUUCUCUUUUUCUCAGCAGCAAUAAUGCAGACCUCAUAAUUGAAGACUCCAAUUAUUGAUCAUUGAUUUUUGUCCAGAAUGUUAUUCAUCCGCUGUAAGACCUUGCCUUUUAUGUUUAAGUCAUAGUGGUAAUUUUAGGUAUUAUCAACUUCAUUAUUCUCUCAACACAAAAUCUCGAGAAUACAAGAUAAUUGCUUCAAGAAUCAAGCCCAGCCUCUCUUCUUCCGGUCACUAGUUUAUCUAUUGUAUUGAGUUUUCUCACGUAUUUUGUAUUUCUUGAUUUAUUACUUCAUUCCUUGGUUUGCCGAAGAGGUUAGUACUCUAUUUGUUUUUCAAGAACUUUGUCAGUGUGUUGGGAGAUCUUAUGACUUACGAAAUCAUGUAUUCUAUAAAAUUCUUGAACUUCGAUAUUUAUUGAUUGAAUAAUCUGAAUUUUUGCCAUGAUUACUAAAGUCUCUUCACUAUUGGUUAUGCUAAAAAAGAGUACCCUCUGAAGUUACUCCAUAAUUCCCAUCAUAUUAUUAAACCUUUAACUAUGCCAAAAUGACUUGAAUCUUCAAAAAUCUCCAAAAUUUUUUAUUAUGUUAUGAAAUCCUUUUUUUUAGAACUGGCAUGAUAAUUUGGUCUGCAGGACUUCUAACAUUAUGAAAUUUCUUCAAGAAUAUCCUCAUGGUAUCAUAUAUAUCUCCAUAAUCUUAAGCUAUGCUAAAAGUGACAUGAACACAUCCAGAAUUUCAUUCUUCAUAAAGUUAUAAGAAUCUAGAUCUUAUGAACCAUGACAUGUAUUAUGAUACUACUUUCCAUGAGUCUCCAGUAACAUUAAUGAACGCUGUAACUUAUCAAGUAUGAGCCUAAAAUGGCUAAUUCAGAAUUCAUGAGCCUAAAGUGGCUAACUCGAGACAUGUGCCUAAAGCAGCUAACUCAUGGAUACUAGUCAAGAAAAACAAAAAAACAGAACUUUAUGAGCCUAAUAAGUCUAACCUUUGAACAUGAAUUCAUAAAGAUAUCAUCAUGAGCAUAAGGGAGUUAGUUAGCUGACUGUGAAGGCAUAGGUUCAAACGAUAAAUGCCCAAAGCUAUGUUUGCCGACAUAGGAUAGAGAUCAUUCUGCAAGUCGAAUGACUCUUUUUUUUUUUUCAUGUGUCCCGAAAAGGGGCUAACCAUGGAUACUUGCUAGCAAAUUAUAUCAUGUCCUAUGCCCGGUAAGGUAUAGGAUGGCUUAGCUGAUCGGGUCGAGAUCAAACUCUAUGCGCUCACAUGUUGGUUUAUGACGGUUCACUACUUUCUCCCACAAAUAACUAAAGGGAUUAAUUUAUUCUACGUUAUUCAGUUUAUGCUCUUGUCCCUUUUUAUCUUAUCAUGUUUUUAAUUGUACUUAUCAUCUUUGUAUUUUCAUGCUUUAUUACUUUCUUAUGUGGUUUUGCAUACCAAUACGUUCUACAUAUUGAUCGUCUUGGAAGCUGCAUUGUCUUAUAAUGCAGGUUCUGAGACAUACAUUUGUAAUUUCAUGGAUUACUAGGCCCAAUUAAAUCAGCUGUUGGUGAGCCCUCCAUCUUUUCGGAAGACAUUGUUUAUACUGUUAUUGACUAGUUCUAUGUUUUGGAGUAUUUCGGGGUCUUGUUUCCUAUUGACAUUGAUUCAUAUGUUUAGAGGCUUCGUAGAUAGUAGUAAAUAUCAUAUUCAGUUAUGUUCAGUUUUAUUCAUAUGGCUUUUGAAAUUUCCUCAAUCAUGAUUUAAGACUUUUUAUCAGUUUAUAAGCUAAGUAGGUUUUUAUUUUUCA